UACGUAGGUGGCGAGCGUUGUCCGGAUUCAUUGGGCGUAAAGAGCUCGUAGGUGGCUCUGUAAGUCGGUGGUGAAAGCCCACGGCUCAACCGUGGAUACGCCUCCGAAACUGUGUAGCUUGAGGCUGGGAGAGGAAAUCGGAAUUCCUGGUGUAGCGGUGAAAUGCGUAGAUAUCAGGAGGAACACCGGUGGCGAAGGCGGAUUUCUGGACCAGUUCUGACACUGAGGAGCGAAAGCCAGGGGAGCAAACAGG
rnacentral:rRNA from 1 species